rnacentral:rRNA from 1 species
CCUACGGGAGGCAGCAGUGGGGAAUCUUGCGCAAUGGGCGAAAGCCUGACGCAGCAACGCCGCGUGCGGGAUGACGGCCUUCGGGUUGUAAACCGCUUUCAGUGGGGACGAACCAAGACGGUACCCACAGAAGAAGCCCCGGCCAACUACGUGCCAGCAGCCGCGGUAACACGUAGGGGGCGAGCGUUGUCCGGAUUUAUUGGGCGUAAAGAGCUCGUAGGCGGUUCGAUAAGUCGGGUGUGAAACCUCCAGGCUCAACCUGGAGACGCCACCCGAUACUGUUGUGACUAGAGUCCAGUAGGGGAGCGUGGAAUUCCUGGUGUAGCGGUGAAAUGCGCAGAUAUCAGGAGGAACACCAGUGGCGAAGGCGGCGCUCUGGGCUGGAACUGACGCUGAGGAGCGAAAGCGUGGGGAGCGAACAGGAUUAGAUACCCUGGUAGUCCACGCCGUAAACGUUGGGUACUAGGUGUGGGGUCUUAUCACGAGUCGUCGCGCAGCUACGACAUAACGUACCCGCCGUCGGGUAGGUACGGCCGCGAGACGUAAACCGUACGAAACGUAGAAGUAGACGGCGUGUAAGUACGUGCGAACGACGACGACGAGGGAGGAGG